UGCCGCCGCGGCUCGGCGGCGCCGGGGUUCGCCUCGGAGCGGCGCGGCGCCCCCGGGGCGGGCCAGCCGCGGUGAGUGGAAGCCCGCGGCUUCGAAAGCCGGAGCGAAGGGGAAGCCGGAUGUUCUCUCCUUUCCCCCCUCCUCCUUUGUAACGUCCCGUUGCUCUUGACCGUCCCCGAACAGAUUACCUGUCUGCUUACUCUCCUGCAUGCCAGUAGCACUGCAGAGGAAGCCUGAAACACCAUUGCAUUUGUCUUUAGUAUUACAUUAUGAUAUAUAUAUGUCCAGUAUCUUCUAAAACUGGAGCCACAGUAUUGUGGAACGUUGCAGAAGUGGUCUUUGCAGUGAUGUAUCUAUCAUCAUGCCUGCCUUCCUUGUACACUCUCCCCCAGGCACCUGCUGCUGUCAUCCGAAACAGGAUCCCGGACAUCUGCCUUUGGCUAUUGUUGGAGUCAGGAUACUGAAUAUCUCGUGGAGCUAUUCUGGUGUGCCUCCAUUCCUCAGGAUUUCAAAAGGAUGUUCUUCAAAUAUGCAGUUCAUGCUGGGUGAGCAAAACAAGCUGGGAUCAGAGUGAGAGGGUUGAGGUAAAACUCAGUCCCAUGUAGAGUAUGAGCGAACCCAGGACACUCAAAGUUUGUACAGUCAGCAGUGCAUGUAGAUGCAGGCCCAGAGCCAGGCCCUUUUAGGUGGACAGCUCUUAGGUGGAUAGCCUUUGCCUCCAUGAAUCCCUAGGGAUAAGCUCCAGUGGGAAUGAAUCUGCAGCCUGUUCAGAUUGAGAUUAAGAUGAGGAAAAGGAGUGAAUUCACAUAAAAAUUUGCAUGCUUGAGUGACAUGGAAUUAUUAUUUAAUAUGUAGUACUGGCGCAAAUAGGAAAAAAAAAGUCGUGAUCUGAGGAUAUAAGUCAUAAAAAAAGCCAGGUUUUGAUAUUCUUACUGACAUUGGAUUGUACCUUGUGUCAUAAACCACUCCACUGAUCUCAGUCAAAUGACAGGAGAGGGAAGGCACUGCUGAGUGCGCAUCAGCGCGACCCUCCACCUGCGAUUCUAGUAUUGAUAGAGCAACUUUAUUUUGAGUUACAUUCUACUGAACUGGACCAUGGCAGUAACAACUGUUUAGGUACAGAGAGUGGAUGCUUCGUGGUGUGUUAACAAGAUGAAGGGGAAGAAGCAUACCAGGUGGGGGCUCCUUUAUCACACCUGGGAUCGUGACAAGCUGAUUAGCACUUUCUUCUACAACAAAAUAAACAACAAAUGAAGUAAAAUGUCAUUUUGAAAAUACUCUGUUAAUUUAAAUUACUCUAAUUCAGGAAGAACAGAGUGAAUGUUACUCUCAUUAGCUAACAUCAGUUAGGAACAGAUUAAAAUGUAUUAAAAAUAAAUGGACAAAAAAACCCUGGACAAUUUUUAAAACAAAAAGAAUGGUAGCUUUUUUUGCAUUUUUCCUUGCAUUACUUCUAAAAAAACUAGAAUUUUUAAAAAAUACUACAUGAGGAAAUACAAUUAAUUAGUAGUACCACUUAUAGUUCUAUGUGUUAAUAUUUUUUUGAAGGUAUCAGCAGUCAUUACUCUUAGCUGUAUCAUCUGCUUGGAUCCAAGAAAACCUAAGCUUUUCUUACUUCCAUAUUUCUGUUGUACAACUGCAUUUAAUCUGCCAUCCCUCAAAUAAACCAAAUUCUCAUUACAGAAA